rnacentral:lncRNA from 1 species
GCAAUGAGCUUGGUCAGUUGCUGGCCAAAGGUUUCAAGUCAGGUCUCAAUGCGCUUUAAGUGUUGCUUAACGGUUUCCUUCAUUUUUUUUAAGCAAAAGAAGAAAAAAUGAUUAAUAUCCAAAUAAGUAAUAAAUAAUAAAGAAAAUAAAGUAAAGAAAAAUAAUAAUAAAUAAUAAUAAAUAAAAAUAAAAAUUGGGUUGCCUCCCAACAAGCGCUUGUUUAACGUUGUUAGCUCGACG